GACGUAGGAUGCAAGCGUUGUCCGGAUUUAUUGGGCGUAAAGAGUUCGUAGGUGGUUUGUUAAGUCUGAUGUUAAAGACUGGGGCUCAACCUCCAGCUGUCGUUGGAAACCAUCUGGCUAGAGUCCGGAAGAGGAGAGUGGAAUUCCUGGUGUAGCGGUGAAAUGCGCAGAUAUCAGGAAGAACACCAAUGGCGAAGGCAGCUCUCUGGGACGGUACUGGACGCUGAGACGCGAAAGCGUGGGGAGCGAACAGG
rnacentral:rRNA from 1 species